rnacentral:rRNA from 1 species
AUUGAACGCUGGCGGCAGGCCUAACACAUGCAAGUCGAGCGGAGCGGCGGACGGGGGAGUAAUGGCUAGGAAUCUGCAUGGGAGUGGUGGAUAACGUCCGGAAAUGGGCGCUAAUACCGCAUACUAUCAGAUGAGCCUAGGUCGGAUUAGCUAGUUGGUGGGGUAAAGGCAUACCAAGGCGACGAUCCGUAACUGGUCUGAGAGGAUGAUCAGUCACACUGGAACUGAGACACGGUCCAGACUCCUACGGGAGGCAGCAGUGGGGAAUAUUGGACAAUGGGCGAAAGCCUGAUCCAGCCAUGCCGCGUGUGUGAAGAAGGUCUUCGGAUUGUAAAGCACUUUAAGUUGGGAGGCGUUACCCACAGAAUAAGCACCGGCUAACUUCGUGCCAGCAGCCGCGGUAAUAC